UACGUAGGGGGCAAGCGUUGUCCGGAUUUAUUGGGCGUAAAGAGCGUGUAGGCGGCUUGGCAAGUCCGCUGUGAAAACUCGAGGCUCAACCUCGAGACGUCGGUGGAAACUGCCUCGCUAGAGUCCGGAAGAGGAGAGUGGAAUUCCCGGUGUAGCGGUGAAAUGCGCAGAUAUCGGGAAGAACACCCGUGGCGAAGGCGGCUCUCUGGGACGGUACUGACGCUGAGACGCGAAAGCGUGGGGAGCGAACAGG
rnacentral:rRNA from 1 species